GUGUCACUUCCACAUAGCUUCUCACAGCCUCUGUUUAAAAACCCUUUUGUUACUAGAGAAUUUACAAAUAAUGCCACUAUAACUUAAUCAUACGACCACCUUUACAUUAAAAUGUUUCUAACAAUUAAUUAACCGAGCCCUUUGUAAUAUGUUUUACACCGAACCAUAUAUUGAUGAUUUAAAAGAUUCUUCUUUCUUAAUCACUUCAAAGUUCAAACCGAAAUCAAGAGUCGACCGUU
rnacentral:lncRNA from 1 species